CGGAGGGAUCAUUAAAGAGUUCUAUAACUCCCAAACCCAUGUGAACAUACCUAACGUUGCCUCGGCAGGUCGCACCUACCUUGUAGCACCCUACCCUGUAGGGCCUACCCGGGAGGUGCGGGUAAGCCUGCCGGCGGCCCACCAAACUCUGUUUGAUAUUGAAUUCUGAACCUAUAACUAAAUAAGUUAAAACUUUCAACAACGGAUCUCUUGGUUCUGGCAUCGAUGAAGAACGCAGCGAAAUGCGAUAAGUAAUGUGAAUUGCAGAAUUCAGUGAAUCAUCGAAUCUUUGAACGCAUAUUGCGCCCAUUAGUAUUCUAGUGGGCAGGACCGUUCGAGCGUCAUUUCAACCCUUAAGCCUUCGUUGCUUAGUGUUGGGAGCCUACGGCAACGUAGCUCCUCAAAGUUAGUGGCGGAGUUGGUUCACACUCUAGACGUAGUAAUUUUUUAUCUCGCCUAUUGGUUGGACUAAUCCCCUGCCGUAAAACCCCCAAUUUAUCAAGGUUGACCUCGAAUCGGUUCAGACAAACUCGCUAAAUUGAAGCAUCUUAGUCAGCGAAGGAAAAGAAACCAACA
rnacentral:rRNA from 1 species